GACCUACGGGGCGCAGCAGUGGGGAAUAUUGCACAAUGGGGGAAACCCUGAUGCAGCGACGCCGCGUGAGUGAAGAAGUAAUUCGUUACGUAAAGCUCUAUCAGCAGGGAAGAAAAUGACGGUACCUGAGUAAGAAGCCCCGGCUAACUACGUGCCAGCAGCCGCGGUAAUACGUAGGGGGCAAGCGUUAUCCGGAUUUACUGGGUGUAAAGGGCGUGCAGCCGGGAGUGCAAGUCAGAUGUGAAAUCCCGCGGCUCAACCGCGGAACUGCAUUUGGAACUGUGCUUCUUGAGUGCUGGAGAGGC
rnacentral:rRNA from 1 species